UCCAGACUCCUACGGGAGGCAGCAGUGGGGAAUAUUGCACAAUGGGGGAAACCCUGAUGCAGCCAUGCCGCGUGUGUGAAGAAGGCCUUCGGGUUGUAAAGCACUUUCAGCGAGGAGGAAAGGUUGGUAGCUAAUAACUGCCAACUGUGACGUUACUCGCAGAAGAAGCACCGGCUAACUCCGUGCCAGCAGCCGCGGUAAUACGGAGGGUGCAAGCGUUAAUCGGAAUUACUGGGCGUAAAGCGCACGCAGGCGGUUGGAUAAGUUAGAU
rnacentral:rRNA from 1 species